GGGAAAAUAGCACAUAAAUAAGAAUACAACUCUUGGUAAUUUACGAAUUCCUAAAGUAAGCUUACUAAUUUAAUUUAAAAGUCUUGGUGGCUUACUUAGGCCAUAAUCUUAGGAAAACAUGUCUAAACUAUAAACUUUAACUCUAAUAAUUUUAACACAUAAAGACAUGACUUUAAUAAAAUUAAAACAUGGCUUGGGCUUGAUAAACACUAGGAUGGCUACAGAUUUUGCUUUGUGCAACACACGGAUGGAACAUUAAAACAGAACCUAAACAC